rnacentral:misc_RNA from 1 species
GGGGACUGAGGAGCAAGAUGCGAAUUGGGGUUUUACAGGAGGAAAAAUGAGGAGAAGGAGAAGAAUGCUUAAGGAGCUAGACCGAGCUUCUGUUGGCAGCUCUUUUUUAUUAGCAAAGGCAAACGACGUUNAUCACAGUUGCAACCACUAAAGCAGAUGAAUCAAAACCAUAUAAACCAGGUUUUCUUACUGUGAAGGAGAGAUUAAUUGGGUAGCUUGAAUGAAGUUGAAGUCGCAAGCCAAUGUUGUUGAGGUUGCAUACCGCUCCUUCCUGCCUGCUCACACCACUGCCGCUGCUUCCACUAUUGAGACUCUCCCAACGCCAAACAUGGCCAUUCAAAGUUGGCGUGUUCCAACUCGAGGACUUCUUGGAAGGGGAUGAAGUUGGCGUGGACCUGAGCUGGUAGCAUUUAUAGCCUCUGCUAACUGCGUUAGUGUCGCGGUGGUCUCCUGAGAUGGUGGCGUG